GCCCAAGAGAUCGGGAUAACACCUGGAAACAGAUGCUAAUACCGGAUAACAACAGAUGAUGCCUAUCAACUGUUUAAAAGAUGGUUCUGCUAUCACUAUUGGAUGGACCUGCGGUGCAUUAGCUAGUUGGUAGGGUAACGGCCUACCAAGGCGAUGAUGCAUAGCCGAGUUGAGAGACUGAUCGGCCACAUUGGGACUGAGACACGGCCCAAACUCCUACGGGAGGCAGCAGAC
rnacentral:rRNA from 1 species